rnacentral:rRNA from 1 species
UACGUAGGUGGCAAGCGUUGUCCGGAAUUAUUGGGCGUAAAGCGCGCGCAGGCGGUUCCUUAAGUCUGAUGUGAAAGCCCACGGCUCCACCGUGGAGGGUCAUUGGAAACUGGGGGACUUGAGUGCAGAAGAGGAGAGCGGAAUUCCACGUGUAGCGGUGAAAUGCGUAGAGAUGUGGAGGAACACCGGUGGCGAAGGCGGAUCUCUGGGCCUUACCUGACGCUCAGGCGCGAAAGCUAGGGGAGCAAACAGG